rnacentral:rRNA from 1 species
GACGAACGCUGGCGGCGUGCUUAACACAUGCAAGUCGAACGAUGAAGGAGAGCUUGCUCUCCGGAUUAGUGGCGAACGGGUGAGUAACACGUGACUAACCUGCCCCUUUCUCUGGGAUAACGCUCUGAAAGGAGUGCUAAUACCGGAUACGAACUCUGAACACAUGUUCGGAGUUGGAAAGUUUUUCGGAAAGGGAUGGAGUCGCGGCCUAUCAGCUUGUUGGUGAGGUAACGGCUCACCAAGGCGACGACGGGUAGCCGGCCUGAGAGGGCAACCGGCCACACUGGGACUGAGACACGGCCCAGACUCCUACGGGGUGCAGCAGUGGGGAAUAUUGCACUAUGGGCGAAAGCCUGAUGCAGCGACGCCGCGUGAGGGAUGAAGGUCUUCGGAUUGUAAACCUCUUUCAGUAGGGACGAAGCGAAAGUGACGGUACCUAAAGAAGAAGCACCGGCUAACUACGUGCCAGCCGCCGCCGUAA